UCAGAACGAACGCUGGCGGCAGGCUUAACACAUGCAAGUCGAGCGCCCCGCAAGGGGAGCGGCAGACGGGUGAGUAACGCGUGGGAACGUACCCUUUACUACGGAAUAACGCAUGGAAACGUGUGCUAAUACCGUAUGUGCCCUUCGGGGGAAAGAUUUAUCGGUAAAGGAUCGGCCCGCGUUGGAUUAGCUAGUUGGUGGGGUAAAGGCCUACCAAGGCGACGAUCCAUAGCUGGUCUGAGAGGAUGAUCAGCCACAUUGGGACUGAGACACGGCCCAAACUCCUACGGGAGGCAGCAGUGGGGAAUAUUGGACAAUGGGCGCAAGCCUGAUCCAGCCAUGCCGCGUGAGUGAUGAAGGCCCUAGGGUUGUAAAGCUCUUUCACCGGUGAAGAUAAUGACGGUAACCGAGAGA
rnacentral:rRNA from 1 species